GUCUACCGUCAUGCCACCCUGAACAAGCCCGAUGUCUGAUCUCAGAAGCUACGCAGGGUCGGGCCUGGUUUGUACUUGGAUGGGAGACCACCUAGGAAGACUAGGUGCUAUAGGCA
rnacentral:rRNA from 1 species